CACAGGCCUCCCUCAGGAGCCCAUCCCUGGGGGGGAGGGGACACCUCAGGCUUCCCGGAAGGGGCUGCACAGGGAGUCAAGCUGGAGAAAGGCUUUGCUGGGGUAUCCAGCCAUGGCUGCCAGGACAUGUAAGGGAGACCAGUCCAUGGAGAAAAGCCACCACCAAGGGCUCUUGUCACAGACAGGAUGGAACACAUCCAUCUCACAAAGGACUGCCAGAGCAUGUUCCAAAAUGCAAAUGUGAUCAUGUCAUCCCUCUUCUGAAAACCCUUCCUUGGAUCCCUGCUGCCCUCCAGAAUAAGUCCAAACACCUGAGCAAGACUUUGCCACCCUGGACAAGCUGGACACCACUCGUUAGCAACAACAAUGGCAAAAAUACAGCAAGGGUUCCCAACGGUGAGUGUCUAUCCCAUGCCAUGCACCAUGUUGAACCCCUCUGACAUAUUAACGCAUUUAUUCACUCCCAACCAUAACCCUGUGGGGCGGACACCAGUAUUAUUCCCUUUCUAGAGAUGAGAGAAUUAAAUCUCAGAAAGCAGAUGUAACUUGCCCAUGGCCACACAGCAAAGCUCCGCAAAUAGUGCUCCAAGUCAAACCCCAUGCUGCUUGUACCUAACGCAAUAAGGUCGGCUCCAUGAAGAUUUGAAGCUGAUUACUGCCGUGUGUUCAGGACCUAGGACAGUGCCUGGCAGCGUGGAUGCUCAACCACGGAGGGAAGGAGGGAUAUGGCAGGAUGGAAGUCUCAAGAGCACCAUAUGCCCAACCCAGCUAAUUACCAGGACCACUGGGGAGCUGAUUAAAAUACUGAGUCCCAAACUA